rnacentral:precursor_RNA from 1 species
AAGGGAUUGUGGUUUUUGCCAUUGAGAAUAAUGGCAGAAACUGCAAUCACUUUU